ACUUACAUAAACCUUGAGUGUAGUCUACUGCACACCUGGGCAAUAUGGUAUAGCGUAUUGCUCCUAGGCUGCCAACCUGCACAGCAUGUUAUUGUACUGAACAAUGUAGGCAAUGUAACGCAAUGAUAUUUGUGUAUCUAAACAUACCUAAAUGCAGAAAUGCUGCAGUAGAUAUACAACAUAAAAGAUUGUUUUUAAGUCCACCUGUAGAAGGCACUUACCAUGAAUUGAACUUGCAGGCUUGGAAAUAUCUCUGGGUUCUGCUUGAAUUCUUGCCCUGGCUCUUGGUGAAGGAUCGGCCUGCUGGAUCUGAGUCAUCCACCUAUAAGAGGGACAACACCACACAUUGGUCGCUGCUCUCAAGCCCCUGGAAUACCACCCCACUUGGCUUCUCCUGGUAACAGUGGCUGCCUUUGCUUGCCUGUCUCCAACUCCUCCCAAGAGCAUUGCUGACUAUACCACCCACAUAAACAAAAACUUUUUGGGAGUCCUCCAGAAUUUUUAAGAGUUAUCUAAACUAUUGCCUUUAAUGACCAGGAACUCCAAUUUGAGAAGUUACCCUACGUUAAGCCAACAGCAGCCUGGCUCCUUCAUCCUGUGCAGUAUGGGACAGAGCUGGGUCCUUGUUGUCAUCAGCCAGACAAGCACACAUUAAAGCCCACCUUAGCCAUUGGCAUUACAGCUUUAAAAGCAGCUCCAUCCUACCAUGCUGUCACUCUACUCAAUCACGUGAUCUUAACGACCAGCUCUACAUAUCCUCUCUCCAUGCCCCCACCACCAUCCCCCACCAACAAAUCCGAUUCUGCUAUCAGCUACAGGUCUGGGUUUGUGUCUCCGACAAAGAACCACCUCAAAGCCCCACAGAAAAGGACUGUACCGUAUACUUCAAACUAUUGACACCUCAAAGAACAGAGCUUGGGUUCAGGCUUCUGAUGCAUUCUGAGACACUCUCAGACCAUACCAGUGGGCUGGGUCAGGAUUUACAGAACUAUUUUCAUUUCAAGAGCAUACGGGCUCAUGAGAUUGCUAACUCAAGAUCCGGUGGAACAGAAAUACUUAUAUCGGACUGAAUAAACUGAUGAGGAAAA
ensembl:lncRNA LINC02020 long intergenic non-protein coding RNA 2020